rnacentral:rRNA from 1 species
UACGUAGGGUGCAAGCGUUGUCCGGAAUUAUUGGGCGUAAAGAGCUUGUAGGCGGUUUGUCGCGUCUGCUGUGAAAUUUCGGGGCUCAACCCCGAACUUGCAGUGGGUACGGGCAGACUAGAGUGUGGUAGGGGAGACUGGAAUUCCUGGUGUAGCGGUGAAAUGCGCAGAUAUCAGGAGGAACACCGGUGGCGAAGGCGGGUCUCUAGGCCGACACUGACGCUGAGGAGCGAAAGCGUGGGGAGCGAACAGG